GGGUUUUGUUUAGAUCAAAUUUAGCCUUCGCUACUUGCUUGUAGGCGCGCGUGCAGGAUCAGCCGCCCGUCUCCUUGUCUUCGGAACCCCAUUGUUGAUUCAGAUUCAGUUUGAAACCUUCAAUUCAUCUUGCAAAUUCAGUGCUUGUUUCCUCGUUCUUGCUAGUUCUUCGAUUGCUUGCAGGACGGGAGCCCUAGGGGCUGGUUGUCGCGCUCCACAAGAUCAUGACGGCUGUUGGACGUGGUGUAUCGGUUGCUAAGGCGCGGUCUUGAGGGCUGUAGUCGGGCCGUGAACGUCAUCUCCAUCCACCAAUCGAGUUAUCCCCGUCUCUCAUCAAAAGAUCAGGCCAAAAACCCUAGCGGGUUCGCAUCAGUUGGUAAUCAGAGCAAGGUUCUUCGGUGAGAGACUUCUAAUCCUUUGCUGUUUUUAAUUAAUUUUCUAUAGUCCAGAAAAGCCAAAAAAAAUAUAGUAGAUUAGUUUUUCCAUAAUCCUAUUAAACCUUUGUGCCUUGGGUAGUACCGUUUUAGUUAGGGCUUGUUGAAUUUGCGUUGCUUCGGUUUGUGUCGAGUUGCUGGUCUUAGUGUCUAGUCCUUUAGAGUUUCGAGUUCUUGUCACCAUCUAUACACAGCCGAGUAUUACCAUAUCUUCUCUCUGUCGAAUCUGUUGCGAAGUCCGAAUUGAACUGUGGUCUUGGUCCGGAUCGAGUAGAGUUCCAAUCUGAGUUCCACCAACGUGAUAAAAAAAAGAAGGAUAACUCCAU
rnacentral:lncRNA from 1 species